rnacentral:rRNA from 1 species
ACGAACGCUGGCGGCGUGCUUCACACCUGCAAGUCGCACGGAAAGGCCCUGCUUGCAGGGUCCUCGAGUGGCGAACGGGUGAGUAACACGUGGGUGAUCUGCCCUGCACUUCGGGAUAAGCCUGGGAAACUGGGUCUAAUACCGGAUAGGAGCCAUUUUUAGUGUGAUGGUUGGAAAGUUUUUUCGGUGUAGGAUGAGCUCGCGGCCUAUCAGCUUGUUGGUGGGGUAAUGGCCUACCAAGGCGGCGACGGGUAGCCGGCCUGAGAGGGUGGACGGCCACAUUGGGACUGAGAUACGGCCCAGACUCCUACGGGAGGCAGCAGUGGGGAAUAUUGCACAAUGGGCGCAAGCCUGAUGCAGCGACGCCGCGUGGGGGAUGACGGCCUUCGGGUUGUAAACGCCUUUCGCUAGGGACGAAGCUUUUUGUGACGGUACCUAGAGAAGAAGCACCGGCUAACUACGUG